ACACUGGCACUGAGAUACGGGCCAGACUCCUACGGGAGGCAGCAGUGAGGAAUAUUGCGCAAUGGGGGAAACCCUGACGCAGCAACGGCCGCGUGUGGGAAGAAGGCCUUCGGGUCGUAAAACCACUUUUGCACGGGACGAAAAAAGGGAUAUCGAACAAAUAUCCCCGAUGACGGUACCGUGAGAAUAAGCCACGGCUAACUCUGUGCCAGCAGCCGCGGUAAGACAGAGGUGGCAAGCGUUGUUCGGAAUUACUGGGCGUAAAGAGUCUGUAGGUGGUUUGUCAAGUCUUUGGUGAAAGGCCGUAGCUUAACUAUGGGAAUGCCAAAGAGACUGGCAGGCUGGAGGCUGGGAGAGGGAAGCGGAAUUUCUGGUGUAGCGGUGAAAUGCGUAGAUAUCAGAAGGAAGGCCGGUGGCGAAGGCGGCUUCCUGGAACAGUCCUGAC
rnacentral:rRNA from 1 species